rnacentral:rRNA from 1 species
CCCGCCAUAUCGGUAGGAUGAGACUGCUAGUCGAGCGCACUCAAGCCAACAUGAGAGCGCGGCACACAGCUCAGUAACAUGUGGCUAACCUGCCCUCGGGACGAGGACAACCCCGGGAAACUGGGGCUAAUCCCCGAUAGGUGAAGAACUCUGGAAUGAGUCUCCGCCCAAAAGACGCUUACGCCAUGCUCGUAGGCGCCGCCCAAGGAUGGGGCCGCGACCGAUCAGGUAGUUGGUGAGGCAACGGCUCACCAAGCCUUUUACCGGUGCGGGCCGUGAGAGCGGGAGCCCGGAGAUGGGCACUGAGACAAGGGCCCAGGCCCUACGGGGCGCAGCAGUCGCGAAAACUUUGCAAUACACGAAAGUGUGACAGGGCUAUCCCGAGUGCCAUCCGCUGAGGAAGGCUUUUACCCAGUAUAAGCAGCUGGGGGAAUAAGGAGAGGGCAAGACUGGUGUCAGCCGCCGCGGUAAUACCAGCUCUCCGAGUGGUGUGGAUGUUUAUUGGGCCUAAAGCAUCCGUAGCUGGCUGGGCAAGUCCCCUGUUAAAUCCACCGAAUUAAUCGUUGGAGUGCGGGGGAUACUGCUCGGCUAGGGGACGGGAGAGGCCGACGGUAUUUUCGGGGUAGGGGUGAAAUCCUAUAAUCCCGGGAAGACCACCAGUGGCGAAGGCUGUCGGCUAGAACGCGCCCGACGGUGAGGGAUGAAAGCUGGGGGAGCGAACCGGAUUAGAUACCCGGGUAGUCCCAGCUGUAAACGAUGCAGGCUAGGUGUUUGGGCGGCCACGAGCCGCUCUAGUGC